UGGAAGUUUAUGGAUAACAACUACUUGUUUUUUAACAAAGAAUAAAGAAAUUGUUAUCCAUAAAAAGUGUUGUUUAUGUCCAGUAAUAUAUAUUGCCUUGAGGUUUGAUUCCUUUUUGAGAUGAACUCGAGCACCUCUUUUUUUGUAACAGACCAAAAUAUUUAAUGAUCACUAGGUUUCUCUGUCAAAAGUUGAGUAGUAUAUGUCUUAAGUAGGUAACUGAAUAAGAAAUUUAGGAUGGGACAAAAUGUUUGACAUCAGGUGUUUAUAUUGGAAGAAAUGAGUGCCAAGUACUGUGUAGGCUGGGGCUACAGGGACUGUGUAGGCUGGGGCUACAGGGACUGUGUAGGCUGGGGCUACAGGGACUGCUGGGAUACAGGGGCCCUCACUGUGCCAUGUUAUAUAGAGAUUUAUUGUACAGAGGCUAUUUUGUCUAAGACAAGUGUAUUGAGAAAAAUUAUUCUGUUUUGAUACAGGAAUGAUCAAGCAUUUGGUUGUAGAUAGCUAGAAUAAGCUUAGCUGUAAAUAUGUUAGCUAUGCAAUAAAAAGAUAUGAACUGGU